rnacentral:rRNA from 1 species
AUUAAACGCUGGCGGCAUGCCUUACACAUGCAAGUCGAACGGCAGCACGGGGGCAACCCUGGUGGCGAGUGGCGAACGGGUGAGUAAAGCAUCGGAACGUGCCCUGGAGUGGGGGAUAACGUAGCGAAAGUUACGCUAAUACCGCAUAUUCUGUGAGCAGGAAAGCAGGGGAUCGCAAGACCUUGCGCUCUGGGAGCGGCCGAUGUCGGAUUAGCUAGUUGGUGGGUAAAGCUACAAGGCGACGAUCCGUAGCGGGUCUGAGAGGAUGAUCCGCCACACUGGGACUGAGACACGGCCCAGACUCCUACGGAGGCAGCAGUGGGGAAUUUUGGGACAAUGGGCGAAAGCCUGAUCCAGCCAUGCGCGUGAGUGAAGAAGGCCU